AGGAAUAUUGGUCAAUGGGCGCGAGCCUGAACCAGCCAAGUAGCGUGAAGGAUGAAGGUCCUAUGGAUUGUAAACUUCUUUUAUACGGGAAUAAAGUGGUCCACGUGUGGGCUUUUGCAUGUACCGUAUGAAUAAGCAUCGGCUAACUCCGUGCCAGCAGCCGCGGUAAUACGGAGGAUGCGAGCGUUAUCCGGAUUUAUUGGGUUUAAAGGGAGCGCAGACGGGGGAUUAAGUCAGUUGUGAAAGUUUGCGGCUCAACCGUAAAAUUGCAGUUGAUACUGGUUCCCUUGAGUGCAGUUGAGGCAGGCGGAAUUCGUGGUGUAGCGGUGAAAUGCAUAGAUAUCACGAAGAACCCCGAUUGCGAAGGCAGCCUGCUAAGCUGUAACUGACGUUGAGGCUCGAAAGUGUGGGUAUCAAACAGGAUUAGAUACCCUGGUAGUCCACACGGUAAACGAUGGAUACUCGCUGUUGGCGAUAUACUGUCAGCGGCCAAGCGAAAGCAUUAAGUAUCCCACCUGGGGAGUACGCCGGCAACGGUGAAACUCAAAGGAAUUGACGGGGGCCCGCACAAGCGGAGGAACAUGUGGUUUAAUUCGAUGAUACGCGAGGAACCUUACCCGGGCUUAAAUUGCAGACGAAUUACCUGGAAACAGGUAAGCCGCAAGGCGUCUGUGAAGGUGCUGCAUGGUUGUCGUCAGCUCGUGCCGUGAGGUGUCGGCUUAAGUGCCAUAACGAGCGCAACCCUCGUGGCCAGUUACUAGCAGGUAAUGCUGAGGACUCUGGCCAGACUGCCAUCGUAAGAUGCGAGGAAGGUGGGGAUGACGUCAAAUCAGCACGGCCCUUACGUCCGGGGCUACACACGUGUUACAAUGGGAGGUACAGAAGGCAGCUACCCGGCGACGGGAUGCCAAUCUCCAAAGCCUCUCUCAGUUCGGACUGGAGUCUGCAACCCGACUCCACGAAGCUGGAUUCGCUAGUAAUCGCGCAUCAGCCACGGCGCGGUGAAUACGUUCCCG
rnacentral:rRNA from 1 species